GUAGGUUAUCACCACCCAUCCUUAUAUGGAUGCCGACCUCACUAUGUUUGGGCUGUCAGUGUUGUUCUGUGAAUAGGUUGCCUUCCUCAUUCUGCCUAGACUCUGACACUAUAUGCCAGCGCACCAACCCUUUGCCCUUUUCCUGAGCCCACAUCUGCAUGGAGUCAUCCAUUCAUCAUUGGGACAGAGGUCACUGUUCCAGUCAGGCAACAUAGCAUCUUGCCUGGGGUUUGCAGAGAAAAGCCAGACCAGGAGGAGCAGAGUCAGCAGGACUCAACUACCAACCAUGACAGGGGAAGUGAGCAGCUUCCCCCACAGCUGUGCGUCUCGUGUUGUCUCUGUAAACCUCAAAGUUGGCAUUGGGAAAGCUUUCUUUAAGAUGACAGACUGCUCUUUUCCUUUGUCUCGCCUGUGUUUCCUGGCCCAUGUCUGCAUCAGUUUUGCCCUCAGUUUGAGGUGGUGGCGGCAUGACCCUGCCAUACAGUGGAACCACUCAGUCACCACCAAACUGUCACUCAGUUCCUGGCAGAAAAGACUUCACACCCAUAAUCCUGUAAUCUUUUCCUCCAACAAGGACUCCAUUUCACUUGAAGAGGUUGAAAUGAAUAGCUUUUGUCAUUUGGAAUUUGAGCACAUCUGGAUGAAUUUUUAGUUUAAAAAAAAAUCAGGCCAUAAAAAAAGUCAACAAUAUUCCUGUUUUGAGGACAAAUGUGAUUUAAUUAUAUCAAACAUAUGUUAGAAAGCUUGGCUCACUCUUAUUUUUCCAUCCUGCUGAAGGUGACAAAGAUAGCUGAGCUACUUCGUACUCUGCUUCAUGCUGAUCAGAUAAGGCAGGUGAUACAGACUCAGGGCUAGUUCUGGCUG
ensembl:lncRNA